CAUGCAGGCGGUUAGACAAGUCAGGUGUGAAAUCCCCGCGCUUAACCUGGGAACUGCAUUUGAAACUGGCAGGCUUGAGUCUCGUAGAGGGGGGUAGAAUUCCAGGUGUAGCGGUGAAAUGCGUAGAGAUCUGGAGGAAUACCGAUUGCGAAGGCAGCCCCCUGGACAGUGACUGACGCUCAUAUGCGAAAGCGUGGGGAUCAAACAGGAUUAGAUACCCCCGUA
rnacentral:rRNA from 1 species